GAUGAACGCUGGCGGCGUGCCUAAUACAUGCAAGUCGAGCGAACGGACGAGAAGCUUGCUUCUCUGAUGUUAGCGGCGGACGGGUGAGUAACACGUGGAUAACCUACCUAUAAGACUGGGAUAACUUCGGGAAACCGGAGCUAAUACCGGAUAAUAUUUUGAACCGCAUGGUUCAAAAGUGAAAGACGGUCUUGCUGUCACUUAUAGAUGGAUCCGCGCUGCAUUAGCUAGUUGGUAAGGUAACGGCUUACCAAGGCAACGAUGCAUAGCCGACCUGAGAGGGUGAUAGGCCACCUUGGAACUGAGACACGGUCCAGACUCCUACGGGAGGCAGCAGUAGGGAAUCUUCCGCAAUGGGCGAAAGCCUGACGGAGCAACGCCGCGUGAGUGAUGAAGGUCUUCGGAUCGUAAAACUCUGUUAUUAGUGAAGAACAUAUGUGUAAGUAACUGUGCACAUCUUGACGGUACCUAAUCAGAAAGCCACGGCUAACUACGUG
rnacentral:rRNA from 1 species